rnacentral:rRNA from 1 species
GCAAGUCGAGCGAGCUUGCCUAGAUGAAUUUGGUGCUUGCACCAAAUGAAACUAGAUACAAGCGAGCGGCGGACGGGUGAGUAACACGUGGGUAACCUGCCCAAGAGACUGGGAUAACACCUGGAAACAGAUGCUAAUACCGGAUAACAACACUAGACGCAUGUCUAGAGUUUAAAAGAUGGUUCUGCUAUCACUCUUGGAUGGACCUGCGGUGCAUUAGCUAGUUGGUAAGGUAACGGCUUACCAAGGCAAUGAUGCAUAGCCGAGUUGAGAGACUGAUCGGCCACAUUGGGACUGAGACACGGCCCAAACUCCUACGGGAGGCAGCAGUAGGGAAUCUUCCACAAUGGACGCAAGUCUGAUGGAGCAACGCCGCGUGAGUGAAGAAGGGUUUCGGCUCGUAAAGCUCUGUUGGUAGUGAAGAAAGAUAGAGGUAGUAACUGGCCUUUAUUUGACGGUAAUUACUUAGAAAGUCACGGCUAACUACGUGCCAGCAGCCGCGGUAAUACGUAGGUGGCAAGCGUUGUCCGGAUUUAUUGGGCGUAAAGCGAGUGCAGGCGGUUCAAUAAGUCUGAUGUGAAAGCCUUCGGCUCAACCGGAGAAUUGCAUCAGAAACUGUUGAACUUGAGUGCAGAAGAGGAGAGUGGAACUC